rnacentral:rRNA from 1 species
UACAGAGGGUGCGAGCGUUAAUCGGAAUUACUGGGCGUAAAGCGUGCGUAGACGGUUAUUUAAGUCGGAUGUGAAAGCCCCGGGCUCAACCUGGGAAUUGCAUUCGAGACUGAAUAGCUAGGGUACGGUAGAGGGAAGUGGAAUUUCCGGUGUAGGGGUGAAAUUCGUAGAUAUUCGGAAGAACACCAGUGGCGAAGGCGGCUCACUGGACCGGUAUUGACGCUGAGGUGCGAAAGCGUGGGGAGCAAACAGG